AACGAACGCUGGCGGCAUGCCUAACACAUUCAAGUCGAACGAGCCCUUCGGGGUUAGUGGCGCACGGUUGCGUAACGCGUGGGAAUCUGCCCUUGGGUUCGGAAUAACAGUGAGAAAUUACUGCUAAUACCGGAUGAUGUCUUCGGACCAAAGAUUUAUCGCCCAAGGAUGAGCCCGCGUAGGAUUAGCUAGUUGGUGGGGUAAUGGCCUACCAAGGCGACGAUCCUUAGCUGGUCUGAGAGGAUGAUCAGCCACACUGGGACUGAGACACGGCCCAGACUCCUACGGGAGGCAGCAGUGGGGAAUAUUGGACAAUGGGCGAAAGCCUGAUCCAGCAAUGCCGCGUGAGUGAUGAAGGCCUUAGGGUUGUAAAGCUCUUUUACCCGGGAUGAUAAUGACAGUACCGGGAGAAUAAGCUCCGGCUAACUCCGUG
rnacentral:rRNA from 1 species